UCUCACCCAGUGGGAUCAAACUGGUUGUGUUGGGUGGAAGGAUGGGGUGGUGCCUUAAUGGGGGUCAGAUGGACACGGUGAUGGUCAUUGGACCAUGAGGUCCAUGUCCACCUCGGAUGGUGGAACCACCAGGAACAGGAACCACAAUUUCUCACCCAGUGGAAUCAAACUGGCUGUGGUGGGUGAAGGAUGGGGUGGUGGAUGAAGGGGGGACAGAUGGACACGGUGAUGGUCAUGGGACCAUGAGGUCCACCUCAGAUGGUGGGACCACCAGGGACAGGAACCACAAGUUCUCACCCAGUGGAAUCAAACUGGUUGUGGUGGGUGAAGGAUGGGGUGGUGAGUGAGUGGGGGUCAGAUGGACACGGUGAUGGUCAUGGGACCAUGAGAUCCAUGUCCACCUCGGAUGGUGGAACCACCAGGGACAGGAACCACAAGAUCUCACCCAGUGGGAUCAAACUGGUUGUGGUGGGUGAAGGAUGGGGCAGGAGUCCAAGAGGACCAGAUGGACACAGGGAGACACAGACGGACACGGUGGGACCACGUGGUCCUGCAGGAUGGUGGCACCACGUGA